CCUACGGGUGGCUGCAGUGAGGAAUAUUGGUCAAUGGGCGCAAGCCUGAACCAGCCAAGUAGCGUGCAGGAUGACGGCCCUACGGGUUGUAAACUUCUUUUAUGCAGGAAUAAAGUGAGUCACGUGUGCCUUUUUGCAUGUACUGUAUGAAUAAGGAUCGGCUAAUUCCGUGCCAGCAGCCGCGGUAAUACGGAGGGUCCGAGCGUUAUCCGGAUUUAUUGGGGUUAAAGGGAGCGUAGAUGGGUUGUUAAGUCAGUUGUGAAAGGUUGCGGCUCAACCGUAGAACUGCAGUGGAUACUGGCAGGCUUGAGUACACCUGAGGUAGGCGGAAUUCGUGGUGUAGCGGUGAAAUGCUUAGAUAUCACGAAGAACUCCGAUUGCGAAGGCAGCUUACUAAACCGUCACUGACAUUGAGGCUCGAAAGUGCGGGUAUCAAACAGGAUUAGAUACCCUUGUAGUC
rnacentral:rRNA from 1 species